AACGCGAAGAACCUUACCUGGCCUUGACAUGUCCGGAAUCCUGCAGAGAUGCGGGAGUGCCUUCGGGAAUCGGAACACAGGUGCUGCAUGGCUGUCGUCAGCUCGUGUCGUGAGAUGUUGGGUUAAGUCCCGCAACGAGCGCAACCCUUGUCCUUAGUUGCCAGCACGUAAUGGUGGGAACUCUAAGGAGACUGCCGGUGACAAACCGGAGGAAGGUGGGGAUGACGUCAAGUCCUCAUGGCCCUUACGGCCAGGGCUACACACGUACUACAAUGGUCGGUACAGAGGGUUGCAAAGCCGCGAGGUGGAGCCAAUCCCAGAAAGCCGAUCCCAGUCCGGAUCGAAGUCUGCAACUCGACUUCGUGAAGUCGGAAUCGCUAGUAAUCGCGGAUCAGCUAUGCCGCGGUGAAUACGUUCCCGGGUCUUGUACACACCGG
rnacentral:rRNA from 1 species